rnacentral:rRNA from 1 species
CCAGUGGCGAAGGCGGUUCUCUGGGCCUUUCCUGACGCUGAGGAGCGAAAGCGUGGGGAGCGAACAGGCUUAGAUACCCUGGUAGUCCACGCUGUAAACGGUGGGUACUAGGUGUGGGGUCCAUUCCACGGGUUCCGUGCCGUAGCUAACGCUUUAAGUACCCCGCCUGGGGAGUACGGCCGCAAGGCUAAAACUCAAAGGAAUUGACGGGGCCCCGCACAAGCGGCGGAGCAUGCGGAUUAAUUCGAUGCAACGCGUAGAACCUUACCUGGGUUUGACAUGGAUCGGGAGUGCUCAGAGAUGGGUGUGCCUCUUUUGGGGUCGGUUCACAGGUGGUGCAUGGCUGUCGUCAGCUCGUGUCGUGAGAUGUUGGGUUAAGUCC